GUUCAGAGAAAGCUUCUCCCACCUUCUCCCUCUUUCUCUCUCUAGGGUUUUUCUCUCUCUACGCGAAAGUCGCCGAUUCGCGUCGAUUGCGCGUCCCGCUUGAUGUUUGCUGACUUGGAGACUUGAAAUAAGCUCUUGGAACAUGGGGAGGAGGUGUUUCACUGAGUUUUUGUGAGUUUUAUUCUCAGAGAAGCUGAAUCUCAGCUGUAGAGAGCUGAGAGAGAGAGGGGAGUCCCAGUAGCUAGAGAGGGGUUAUCUAGCUGUGAUUUCUGCACUUUAAUUCAGGGAAAAGCUGGUUUGAGGCUUGGCAAAGCAGGUUUUCGAAUCUAUUUGAGUUGAAUUAGUGACCUUGGGGGCUAGUUUAGAAGGUGUUUCAACCAGGACAUGGUUGCGAUGGGCCUUCGGAUUAUCUUCGGCUGCUAUUGGAGAGCCUUUAGAGGAUAAACUUGAGGUACUAAAGUGAACCAAGUCAGGGAUUCGAGCUACAAUCUUGU